rnacentral:rRNA from 1 species
GAUGAACGCUAGCGAUAGGCCUAACACAUGCAAGUCGAGGGGCAGCAUAGAGUAGCAAUACUUUGAUGGCGACCGGCGCACGGGUGAGUAACACGUAUGCAACCUACCUACAUCAGGGGAAUAACCCGGAGAAAUUCGGACUAAUACCGCAUAAUACAGGGAUGCCGCAUGGCAAUAUUUGUUAAAGAUUUAUCGGAUGUAGAUGGGCAUGCGUUCCAUUAGCUGGUUGGUAAGGUAACGGCUUACCAAGGCAACGAUGGAUAGGGGAACGGAGAGGUUUGUCCCCCACACUGAAACUGAGACACGGACCAGACUGCUACGGGAGGCAGCAGUGAGGAAUAUUGGUCAAUGGACGAGAGUCUGAACCCGCCAAAUCGCGUGAAGGAAGGCUGCCCUACGGGUUGUAAACUUCUUCUGUACAGGAAUAAAAGACAUUACGUGUAAUGUAUUGCAUGUACUGUACGAAUAAGCAUCGGCUAACUCCGUGCCAGCCGCCGCAGUAA